UCCUCUCUGCUGGAGCUGUUUCCAACCUGCUCUUCAAAUACCCAGGAUUACUGCCUCUGUCUUUUGGGGUUAACUUUGCGGGUAUCAUCGCAGCUGUGGUUGCAGCCUGUCUGAUAAGCGUCGACCUGGUUCACUGGCAUCCGAUGAAUGACAUGCAUCUGCUGCAUUUGAGGAUUGAAGUUCUGGAACUUUGUGUGAUGGGGCUUGAGGUUUUCCUCUCUGCGAUUCUCUGCUUCUUCUUCGUUAAAGAGAAACGUGCCAAAUCACCAUGAUAAAGCUGGUUGAUUCUUUUUUCUUCAUCAUGUGUGGCUUUUAGUUGUCUUGAUUGUAUAUGUGGAGCUGAAACCGCUGCUGAAAAGGAUGGGCUGUGGGCUGUGUCGGAUGUUUGACUUGGACUGAGGACACAAGGCUUGCGGUCGGCAAAUGUCAGCGUCUCUCAUGUGAAAUAAAAGUCACUCUUCAACCUCCUCAACCGUGGUGGGCCUCAUAGUGCAGCUCUGUCUGGCCUCUCUGCAGGGCCCUGUGUGUGUGGGUGUGGAUUCACACUCGUGUUGUCUUAUUAGUUUUGAAAUAUCUGCUUUUUGUUUUCAGUUUCUCACAGAGGUUUUUACAGAGCUCAGAAGUAUUUGUGUCUUAUAGGUUUUUCUUAGGUUUCGAAUAAAUAGCCACAGGUGGAAAUACUCAAUUUCAUAUUUGGUGUGACAAAGAUAAGAAUAAAACGAUAUGUUUUUCACAUUUUAAUCAUCUUUACAAACUCGUCUUAACACAGAUCUGGUGACAAAAGAAACUAACUAUAAAAAAUCGUCUGUGUGGAUCUGUCUGCUACCUUUUUUUUGUAAAAUACAUAAUAAAAAACUCAUCUACAAUAUUAA